rfam:Schistosoma rodhaini strain Burundi genome assembly, scaffold: SROB_scaffold0006974
AUCCAGCCGACGAGUCCCAAAUAAGACUAAACGUGCUUCGUGGAU